AUGAGACUGACCUACCCAUCACCUGAUGGGGGGUUUUUACUGUAUCAUCUUUAUGCUAUGAGUGGGGAAACCGAGGCCCUAAGAGAUUGCGUGACUUGUUCAAAUCACUUGCCUGCUUUGCGGCAACCCAAGAUUCGAACCAUGCCGUCAGGGCCUGACUCCUGCCCCCGCCAGGCGCCUCGGAGCGGGGCACACGUGCUCUUCCUGCGUCCCACGCGUCAACAAUUCCCUGCGUGGCUCCGGGUGGUGGGUCGCGGUCUCUAUCGUGUGGGCUGGGGAGGCGCAGGCGAACCAGAGCUGGCUUGGGGCCAACAGCCUCUACGCUAUGCCAAGCUGACAUACCAGGACGAACAGCGGGCAGGACCAGACUGGCCUGCAGCAACAGGAAAUCAGUGCAUGUGUGAUUUUCACCUAGAGCCCACAACAGGAAAAUGUAUGAAUCCUUCUCCUUCUGGUCCCAUCUCUUCCAUCUGGCUGCAGAGCAGGACUCAGUUUGGGAAGCCAGAAGGAAUGAUAGAGUUGUCUGGGGAAGGAAGGUCACGUCAACAAGUGUACUGACUUGAGAGCUCCUGUCACGUUGCUGCCAGAUUCCUCUCCAGCUGGAGUGCCAUCAGCCCCGUUCCAGGGCAUCUGUUCUCCCGCAGCCCCAUCUCAACAGGGUUUCAUUUUUAUGUAUUUUGGUUUGUGUAAUGGUACCUUGGAAUUAUUUCACUGAUAUUUUUAAAUUGCUAAUGAGGUUCUGUGAGGAUUCAAUUAGAUGAUAUGCAGAGAGGUCAGAGCACAGAGCCCGGCAUAUAGGGCAUUAAUAUUACUAUUGAUAGUUACUGAGUAAAAAAAUUAAAUAUUGACCUUAUAUUUGGGUUUUUUCUUUUUUUUUUUAAAGACUUAUUUAUUUUAGAGAGAGAACACGAGUGGAGGGAAGGGCAGGGGAGGGAAAAUCUCAAAGCAGACUUCCUGCUAAACUCAGAGCCCCAAAUGGGGCUCGAUCCCAUCACCUGGAGAUCAGGACCUGAGCCAAAACAAAGAGUUGGAUGUCCAACCGAUUGAGCCACCCAGGCACCCGUUUGUGUUUUUUCUUAUGUGUCUGUUUUGUUUCUCUCUCUCUCUCUCUUUUAAAAGAUUUUAUUUCUGUGACACACACACAGAGAGAGAGAGAGAGAGAGCAUGCACACAAGCAAGGGGAUCGGUGGGGAGAGAUGCAGGCUCCCACUGAGCAGGGAGCCCAACGUGGCGCUCAAUCCUAGGACCCUGGGACCAUGACCUGAGCCAAAGGCAGAUGCUCAACCGACUGGGCCACCCAGGUGCCCUGGUUGCUUCUCUUUGUCUACAUGGUAGCGCCUUCUCAAUCUGCAUGCUGCCUCCUGGCUCGGGCCGAUUAGUAAUUUCAUUCCGUCCUGUGUCCUUACUACUGUCCAUGUGCCAGCAGAACACACUCCUAUCUCUAGCCUGGACUUCUCUCCUGUUCUCCAAACACACCUAACUGCCUACUCAACGUCUCCUCUUGGAUGUGGCAUCUCACACUUCAUAACCUCCAGAGCUGAGCUCCUGCUCCCCACUGCACCUGCUCCUCCCACGGCCUUUUUCCAUCUCAGUGAACAGCAACCAUCCUUGCAGGUGCUCAAGUUAAAGACUCUUGAGUCUUCCUUCACUCAUUCUUUCCCUCUCUCGCUUCACAUCCCCGGCCUCCAAAUCCAUUGGCCACCAUCUUCAAAAUAUAUCCAGAAUCCAGCCACUUGUCACCACCCUGGCCAAGACACCACCAUCUCUCACCUGCAAAAACCAGUCUCCCUGGUUGUACACUUGUGCAUCCUCAGCUUUUCAGCCCUUUGGCCCUCCUCCUGCUCAUGUCCCAGCUCUGGUUGUGGUCCUGCCUUUGUGGUGAAGCUGCAGCAGCAGAAGACUCUUAUUUAGAGCAACAAACCAUCUGCAGAAAGCAGAGUUCCCUUCACCUGCCCAUCCCUAAACCAGCCCGCGGCAAGAGGGACAGAUCACUAGACUGACCUGGACAAAUCGGGAUCACCCCUGAGCAGCGUUUGGGACCAGCGUUAUCUUUUCUGACAAGUAGACUCCUGAGCAGCAGUGAGGCUCCGAUUGUUGAGGAAUAAAUGGGGAACAGAAGUUGGGUGAACACCCGAACAGAGUCUGUCACCACGUGGGAGGUCAGAGAGUCAAUAAGAGAGGCCACUUACUUUUCUGGGCUGCCUAGUGUGGGUGGCCCCAGGCCCACAGGCCUUGACCAUAUAUAUCCAAGCAGGGACAGGGAUGUGACAGGGAACUUGGGUCUGUUUCUGCCAAUGGGAGAUUUCCACCUUUGGGGGGCCCUUUAUUUUGGGUUAAUGGAAGAAGGCACAUAACAGUGUUUGUAUCCUCGGGCUGUGUAACAACCACACACUGGGGCUUGAAACAACACGAGUUUACCCUCUCUCAGCUCUGGAGCCUAGAAGGCAGAAAUCAAGGUGUUGCCAGGGCCAUGCUCUCCUGAGGCGCUAGGGAAAGUCAGCUCCGUGCCUAUUUCUUAGCUCCUUGGCAUUUCAUGGCUUAUGACUGCAUCACUCCUGCCUUGACCUCUCUUGUCACAUGGCCUCCUCCCUGUAUGUCCCUGUGUCUCUUCAUGUGAGGACGGAGCCAUAUUGAGUUAAGGACCCACCCUACCCUAGUAUGACCUUGUCUUAACUGAUUACUUUACAGCUACCCUAUUUCUAAGUAAGGCCACCUUUUAAGGUCUGGGGGUUAGAAUUUCAACAAAUCUUUUUGGGGGACACGAGUGAACCCCUAACACUUAUAUUUACAGUAUUAAUUAGAACCUAAUUUUUCUUCAUUUCUUCCUUUCUGAUCUGAUUGUCCUUUCUUUCAUUUUCUUGCCUGACUGAUUAGAACCUCUAGGCAUUUGUAACUAUAAGUUUCCCUCUAAGUCCUGCAUAGCUGCAUCCCAUACAUUUUGGUAUGUUGUGCCGAAUUUUCUUCAGAAACUAUUGUGUGUUGAGGCUUGACUUGAAUUUGCUAUGUCAGUAUUAAUAGCUGAAAUUUUGAAGAUCUGUUCCUCACCUCCCUUCCUUUCUCCCUCCCUCCCUCCCUCCUUUCCUUUAACUCACCUUUAAAAAGUAAAGGUCAUUUACUGGAGAGUUUAAUAAACUAGUAGCUACAGAUCAAGAAUUAAACAGUGUUUAAAAAGAGAGCAUAAGGACAUUGUGUAUUAAUGUCCUCUGUUUUGUUUUAGUUGUUCAUGCCUGGGUUAUGUCUUUACCAUUGGUACUAAUGGGACCAAAGCUUGAUCCCACUGCACACAUCCUGUCAGAACCCAAAUUACAGACGCCAUGCUUAGGAGGAAGCAGCCACCACAGACUGUAUAAUCUUAAGACAAUAUGUGAAAUUUGCAUUUUUCAUUUCAGUGCACUACUGUUUUAUGUUUUAUCUGUAAGCCGGCAACUUUUUGUCUAGUUAAUCACUUUCAUUUUACAGAACCAUUUUUAAGACCCGUGGGUGGAAUUAACUCAAUGAUGUAGUGUUUAUAUUCUUCAGCUUCCUAGGGACUGGAAGAGCCAAAGGCUGAACAGGGAAGCAUCACAAUGUUUCCCCAUGAAAAAGAUGCCUUUCUUCACCUCCCUUCAGCUUGCUCCCCCAACACCCGCACCACUGUGGCACCAAUGCUUUUCCAGUUUACAAGCAUCGGCUCCCUCUCUCCAGCAAAGUCCUCCAAAUCCCUAAUUAUGGAUCAGGAACUGGCACCCUCCCCUGCCUUCUCUCCUGAGGGAAAGGUGAUUCUGCGUCUCACUGAGUUCACUGCAGGAAAACCUGACAUUGAGGUGAGAAUUUCUCCGACUGCAUCUCCUUGCAUAGCAACACCCCUUGGCACAAACUCACCAGGGAUGUCCAGCCCCCCGCACUUCCACCAGGAGUAUUUAUAGACUGUUUUCACAGCUCCCCUCCCCUCUCGGGCUGUGCAGGGAAGUUGGCCUUUUGGAGCUUGCUCCUCCUUCUAGCCUGUCCAGGCGGAGGCUAGAAAUCUGCCACUUGGGGGCAGAGGAUGGCACUGGGCAUGAGUCUACUCACAAUAGCCUGCAGCCAGAAUCAGUCCAAAUAAAAAGUCAGACGUCUCUUGCCGCCACCUCGCCCAGACCUCAUGGUCUUGCCAUUGGCAGAGCAUCCCCCGGCCUGCUGCUUGAGCAGCUGCUAAGGGGCUGGUCCUCUCACCUGCCUCUGCAGGAGACCAUUAGCAGGCUGCUGGUAGCUGAGGCUCCGGGUGCUGAUACAGGCUGCGCUCAGAGCUGCCCGCCAGCCCAUCGAUUGUGGGUUCACCGGGAUGCUUUCUGACCUUUCAAGGUUGGUGAAGACUCAGCAGUUGCAUACAGUUCUGUUAUUAAAUGUUUUGAUCCUGAGUGUGGUUUAUCGUCUUGUAAUUCAGAGGACAAAAGGGACAGUAAGUAGC
rnacentral:lncRNA from 1 species